rnacentral:lncRNA from 1 species
CACUCUUGUAGUCUGCUUAGGUCUGAUCAACCUAACCCACACAUUCCUCUGCAUGCUUGUCUACGAGGGCCUCCCGCACAUUCAAGUUCAUACUGCUCAGGAGCAGUGAGCUUGGAGUGUUCCUUUUAUCUUGAUCUCCCUCUGACAAAGAAAUCCAGAUGACACAGAAACCACUGAAGACAAUACCUGGAAAAUGGCAGUCUUGGAAAUAACUUUGGCUGUCAUCCUGACUCUACUGGGACUUGCCAUUCUGGCUAUUUUAUUAACAAGAUGGACGCGGCGCAAGCAAAACGAAAUUGAUGUCUCAAGAUACAGUUCAGAACAAAGUGCUGGUCUUCUGGACUAUGAGGAUGGUAGAGGUAAAUAG